GGUGGCUCAGUAGUAGAGUGUUUGCCUUGCAUGCAUGAGGUCCUGGGUUCGAUUCCUCAGCACCA
rnacentral:tRNA from 1 species